CUCACGAGGCAACCCGAGGUGAAGCUCCGCCCACUUCCUCAAAAGACGAUAGUUGUUCUGUUUUUACAGCAGCCACAGAGAACAGAGAUGCCUGGAUUAAUUUUAUUUUUAUCUUUGAUGACAAUGUUCUAGCAAUAUUGCCAAAGAACGCUGUAGUUUGUGAAAGUAAUUUCACUUUGGAAACUUCUACCAUGUCGGGGCAGAGCUAAAGUAAACAAACGGAUUAGGGAGAAUAGGGGAGGGGGGUUUCCAUAGCAACUUCUGCAUACUACAGCACGUUCUGGAGAGAGCUGAAGAACAGGAAGAACUGAAAAGGUGUGACAACAGGAAACAUCACACUAGUUUUUUUAACUACCUUUGACUGAGUUUCUUCUGUUGAUUGGCAUCCUGCUUUGAUUGUACCAGAAAUUAAGGAUGUCAUACUCCAGCAUACCCAUUUUCUACAACUACCUGCAUUCCCUGGAACUUUGGAUUCAACAUCAUCUUCAGAACCUGAAAAAAAAGAGAUGGAGAAAUCAUUAAAAAUGAAUCUCUCUUAAGGAUGAAUUACUAAUUAUUCUCUCCUCAGAGUUGACAUUCCCUGACAUCCAUCUUCACCUGUUGAUUCCCCUGUGUAAAUAUUGUUUUGUAAAUAGUUUGAAUAACCCCAUAGAGAUUUUAUUCUUUGUUGGUUAUUUUUUCAGAUUCUAGUGUUUUAUUUGCUGUCCUUAAACUUGACAGAAUUGGUUAAUUAAAAAAAUAAAGAAUUGUUUUGGUUGAA